rnacentral:tRNA from 5 species
GGGUCUGUAGCUUAGCCAGGUAGAGCGACGGGCUCUUAACCCGUAGGCCGCGGGUUCGAACCCCGUCAGACCCGCCA